rnacentral:rRNA from 1 species
GAUGAACGCUGGCGGCGUGCCUAAUACAUGCAAGUCGAGCGAAUGGAUUGAGAGCUUGCUCUUAUGAAGUUAGCGGCGGACGGGUGAGUAACACGUGGGUAACCUGCCCAUAAGACUGGGAUAACUCCGGGAAACCGGGGCUAAUACCGGAUAACAUUUUGAACCGCAUGGUUCGAAAUUGAAAGGCGGCUUCGGCUGUCACUUAUGGAUGGACCCGCGUCGCAUUAGCUAGUUGGUGAGGUAACGGCUCACCAAGGCAACGAUGCGUAGCCGACCUGAGAGGGUGAGCGGCCACACUGGGACUGAGACCAGGCCCAGACUCCUACGGGAGGCAGCAGUAGGGAAUCUUCCGCAAUGGACGAAAGUCUGACGGAGCAACGCCGCGUGAGUGAUGAAGGCUUUCGGGUCGUAAAACUCUGUUGUUAGGGAAGAACAAGUGCUAGUUGAAUAAGCUGGCACCUUGACGGUACCUAACCAGAAAGCCACGGCUAACUACGUGCCAGCCGCCGCAGUAA